rnacentral:rRNA from 1 species
UGGGGAAUUUUGGACAAUGGGCGAAAGCCUGAUCCAGCCAUGCCGCGUGCAGGAUGAAGGCCUUCGGGUUGUAAACUGCUUUUGUACGGAACGAAAAGACUCUGGUUAAUACCUGGGGUCCAUGACGGUACCGUAAGAAUAAGCACCGGCUAACUACGUGCCAGCAGCCGCGGUAAUACGUAGGGUGCAAGCGUUAAUCGGAAUUACUGGGCGUAAAGCGUGCGCAGGCGGUUAUAUAAGACAGAUGUGAAAUCCCCGGGCUCAACCUGGGAACUGCAUUUGUGACUGUAUAGCUAGAGUACGGCAGAGGGGGAUGGAAUUCCGCGUGUAGCAGUGAAAUGCGUAGAUAUGCGGAGGAACACCGAUGGCGAAGGCAAUCCCCUGGGCCUGUACUGACGCUCAUGCACGAAAGCGUGGGGAGCAAACAGGAUUAGAUACCCUGGUAGUCCACGCCCUAAACGAUGUCAACUGGUUGUUGGGUCUUUCACUGACUCAGUAACGAAGCUAACGCGUGAAGUUGACCGCCU